UGGGGAAUCUUGGACAAUGGGCGCAAGCCUGAUCCAGCCAUGCCGCGUGAGUGAAGAAGGCCUUCGGGUUGUAAAGCUCUUUUACCAGGGACGAUAAUGACGGUACCUGGAGAAUAAGCCCCGGCAAACUUCGUGCCAGCAGCCGCGGUAAUACGAAGGGGGCUAGCGUUGUUCGGAAUUACUGGGCGUAAAGCGCACGUAGGCGGGUCGUUAAGUCAGGGGUGAAAUCCCAGAGCUCAACUCUGGAACUGCCUUUGAUACUGGCGACCUAGAGUCCGGAAGAGGUUAGUGGAAUUCCCAGUGUAGAGGUGAAAUUCGUAGAUAUUGGGAAGAACACCAGUGGCGAAGGCGGCUAACUGGUCCGGUACUGACGCUGAGGUGCGAAAGCGUGGGGAGCAAACAG
rnacentral:rRNA from 1 species